AGAAGAAUAACAGCGCAGUUCUCCUUCGGCAGAAUUGAAAACAAGUGCACUUAAGUUAGAGCACAUUCUGCCAAAGGAGAAUUGCCCUGCAAUUCGGCA
rfam:Helianthus annuus linkage group 4, whole genome shotgun sequence.